UUUAUUGGAGAGUUUGAUCCUGGCUCAGGAUGAACGCUGGCGGCGUGCCUAAUACAUGCAAGUCGAGCGAAUGGAUUAAGAGCUUGCUCUUAUGAAGUUAGCGGCGGACGGGUGAGUAACACGUGGGUAACCUGCCCAUAAGACUGGGAUAACUCCGGGAAACCGGGGCUAAUACCGGAUAAUAUUUUGAACCGCAUGGUUCGAAAUUGAAAGGCGGCUUCGGCUGUCACUUAUGGAUGGACCCGCGUCGCAUUAGCUAGUUGGUGAGGU
rnacentral:rRNA from 1 species